rnacentral:rRNA from 1 species
GAUGAACGCUGGCGGCGUGCCUAACACAUGCAAGUCGAGCGAGAACCGCUGGAAUGACACUUCGGUAGAAUGAAAGCGGGGAAAGCGGCGGACGGGUGAGUAACGCGUAGGUAACCUGCCCCAUACACAGGGAUAGCCUAGGGAAACCUGGAUUAAUACCUGAUGAAGCAACUGGUCGCAUGACCGGCUGCCAAAGAUUUAUCGGUAUGGGAUGGACCUGCGUCUGAUUAGUGAGUUGGUGGGGUAAUGGCCUACCAAAGCGACGAUCAGUAGCCGACCUGAGAGGGUGAUCGGCCACAUUGGAACUGAGACACGGUCCAAACUCCUGCGGGAGGCAGCAGUGGGGGAUAUUGCACAAUGGGCGAAGCCUGAUGCAGCAACGCGCGUGAGCGAAGAAGGUCUUCGGAUCGUAAAGCUCUGUCCUGGGGAAGAAACAAAUGACGGUACCCCGGGGGAAGCCCCGGCUAACUACGUGCCAGCAGCCGCGGUAACU